CGCUAAUCUCUGAAAGAGUGUUUGGGAAGAGGGUUGUUCUAAGAAUCAGAAUUUACAGUGGGAAGAGGGUAAUAGGUAUAAAUUUGAACCCAUUGAAAUUGAAGAGAGAGAAAAUCGACAAAGAAAAAGUUGAGGGUAGAAUCUGUGAAGCUAUCGUUUCUUUCUGGUCUGAUUUGGGGAUUUCCGUUCAAAUGGACGACGGCGAGCUCGAUUUCUCGACGCAGGAAGUGUUUUCGAGUCCGAACAUGGGGGAGCUUCCGAGCAGUGGUUCCAUGGACAGUUUCUUCGAAGAGCUUCUCAAGGACACGCAUGCCUGCACGCACACCCACACAUGCAAUCCUCCGGGGCCCGAUUUUUCGCACACUCAUACGUGCUACCACGUGCACACCAAAAUCGUGCCGGCACCUGAUGAGGACCAGGUGGCCACCGACGACACGGCAGAGUCCGCGGAGAAGAAGUCGAAGAAGCGGCCCCUUGGGAACAAAGAAGCGGUUCGAAAGUACCGUGAGAAGAAGAAGGCUCGCGCGGCCUCGCUGGAGGACGAGGUGGUGAAAUUGAGGGCUCUCAAUCAGCAUUUGAUGAAGAAGUUGCAGAACCAGGCUGCUUUGGAAGCUGAAAUCGCGAGGCUGAAGUGCUUGCUGGUGGACAUAAGGGGCAGGAUUGAAGGGGAAAUUGGUUCCUUUCCGUAUCAGAAAUCGCCGAAUGCGAACCCUCCGGUGGUUAACCUGCCUGGUUCUUAUGUGAUGAACCCUUGUAACAUGCAGUGUGAUGAUAGGGUGUAUUGCCUUCAUCCAGGAGCUGAUGGGAGAAUCGUGGAGAAUGUGUCGUUAAAUGGGGAAGAGUUUGGUGGUUGUGAAUUUGAGAACCUGCAGUGUCUAGCAAACCAGAAUUUGGGGCUCAAGGAGCUGCGUGCAUGUGGAGUUGGGCAGGCAGGGUCAAAUGUAAAUUCUUCUGCGUCAAAAAGAAAAGCAUAGAAAAUCAUCGAGAUUUGAGAGAAUGAAAGAAAGAGUAUUGAGAUUUGAGCAAUGAGAGCGAAAGCAUUGGAGAUGACUUGCUUUGCAACGUGAUCUCCCGCAUCUUUUGUCAUGAAUUGUUGGGAAUUCUGAUCUCAGAUGGUCACGCCGAAACAACCUUUUUGUUUAUAUUUGGGGGAUCUCGUGCAGCAACAGCUGGUUGAAGAAUUAAUAGAACGUUGGUUUUCAUCCUUGCCAUGGUAAUAUCUCCUUCCAAUAUCUCGUUACCAGUUGCAGCAUCAGCUAUCCAUCAAGUCAUUUUUUAAAAUAAUUCUCUCUUUUUGACCCUCUGCUGCAUUAUCGUGGUUCGAAUGGCUGUUCUACUAUGGAAGAUUAGUCAUAAAUCAAUGUUUCUUCUUAAAGUAUUAUGGUUGAUCUGUAAACAGCAUAGCUUAUGGCUGAGACAGAUUGGGCUCUUCUCUGCGCAAUUAAUUUUCUUGCUUUUUUAUGCAUGGAACUAGUUAAAUUGACAUCAUAAAUGUGUCUAUGCUCAGCCUCUUUUACAUUUCUCAGUUUGUGAGUAUUGGUUGCUUUGUUUAACAAUAAGAGAAUUUUUAGUGGCGAUUAAUGUUUUCUAAAUUCGCAAGUUUUUCCUUGAUGGAUUACAGAACUUAGGGAAGAUGGGGUGUGUUUCAUCUUUCAGUACUUAGUGCUGUGGACAGGUGAGACACCGGUGUCACUUUGUGUAAUAUUAAAUGUUGUGUGGGUGAAAUAAUAAAAUUGGCUUGUUUGGUUGCCGGC